rnacentral:rRNA from 1 species
GUGGGGAAUAUUGCGCAAUGGGCGAAAGCCUGACGCAGCCACGCCGCGUGAGUGAUGAAGGCCUUCGGGUUGUAAAGCUCUGUCGGGAGGGACGAAGGGGAAACCCUGACGGUACCUCGCAAGAAAGCACCGGCUAACUCUGUGCCAGCAGCCGCGGUAAUACAGAGGGUGCAAGCGUUGCUCGGAUUUACUGGGCGUAAAGCGUACGCAGACGGCUGAAAGGGUCGGACGUGAAAGCCCUGGGCUCAACCCAGGAACUGCGUCCGAAACCGUUCGGCUCGAGUAUGGGAGAGGGAAGCGGAAUUCCUGGUGUAGAGGUGAAAUUCGUAGAUAUCAGGAGGAACACCGGCGGCGAAGGCGGCUUCCUGGCCCAUUACUGACGUUCAGGUACGAAAGCGUGGGUAGCAAACAGGAUUAGAAACCCCGGUAGUCC